CAGGAAAUUUGCUGAAGUCUUACUGUUGAAAGAGAAGAUAAGAGGACAUGACUGCACCUCACUCUUUGUGCCUGUUAGAGCCCCAGAACUGCCUCGGUGCUGCUGGUUGGACAGUUAUUCUCACCAACAAGAAGGCAGACCACGGUGAGUCCAUCUGCAGCUGGUCCGGCUUACUGAGGGGAAAAGAGAAGACUUCCCCUUGUAACCUGGCUGGAAGCCUUCCCAAGAUACCUGGGUGCUAUAUCAGCUUUCUCAACCUGGAAGUUGGACCCUGGAGCCUGCAUUUUGAACAGAUGUUCUGGGCAAUUGCCAUGUGCAUUAUAAGUAGGGAACCAUUUACAUGAAGGUUCUACCUACCUGAGCAAAGGUGGAAGUUGGGAGAGAUAGGGCCAGAGAACAGAGUGGCUAGUUCUUUGCCAUCUUUGGUUUCCCGAGGUCUCUGCUGGGCAAAGAGUCUCUCGGAAAAACCAUUCCUUAAAGAUAAGAGCCUGACUAUUUACCAAAAUUUACAUAUAGGUCCAAUAAAUGGAGCUGACUUUACCCAUGCAGGACUGGACGUCAGACUCAGCUGUCUCUGUCAUGAUGCACUUUUAAGGCCUUUUUAACAGAAUGAGCUAGAUUACUGGCAAAGAAAUGAAUUUCUCCUAUCUUCAGAGAAUUCUAAAUCUCCUCACUAGAGAAUUAGACUGUCUGUCCCAUUUCCAACAGUGACACAUGUUGAAUGGCCCAGCUUUGGCGAAUGGUCCUGGCCUGCCAUGUCUUCUCACAACAAAUGUUUCCUUGCAGUUUGCUCACUCUGGGGUCAGUAAGAAUUUCAAAUUGGGACAGAAAAACAGAGAACUGUUUUAAGUGGGCUGACCUUGGCCUUCACAAAUUACCUCUGAAGUUCCAGGAUUUGUGAAUGACCCAGAGGUCCAUGAUCCACAGUCAUGCACCAUUUGAAUGAAGCAUGAAUUUGGAUGGUGUGCAUCUGGAAGCAGGGAGGGGAACUGGGUCUCACGGCUGGGAAGCACCAGCACCUUAGCUUUGUGGAACUUACGACAUGGUGGAAGUUCUGUUUCUUGGCAAAAAAUGGUCAUGUGGUUGAAGAGAAAGUUUCAGAGGAUAUAGAAAUAACCAUCAACUUGUGGUAGGAGAAUGGCACUGGGUGCUCAUGGAGCUUUACAAGACACGUGAAGUGGGAGGAAACCAAGACACGUGAAGUGGGAGGAAACCAGUGUCAGUAUUUCCAGUGCUCCAAAUUCAGGAUCCCUGGAGGUUUCAGAAUCAGUCCUCCCAAAUAUUUAUGGAAAGAAUAACAAAUGCUUGCAUUUAUUGAGUGAUAAUUAUAUGCCAGGCAAGGUGCCAAGAGCUUAGCCCACAUCAUCUCCUGUGACCCUCACAGCAACACUCCAAGCGCGUACUUUUACGAUCACCAUUUUCUAGAGAAGGAAACUGAGCACAGAGCGGUUGUCCAGUUUCAACAAGAACCCACAGCCAGACAGUGGCAGAGCUACGAUUCGAACUGACAAACACUCUCUCCUCACCCAAACUUUAGUUCGGCUCCUCUGAGCCCUCUAUUCAACUAGGCCUCAAAUAUGGCCCCAGUCCUGCCCAGCAAAAAUCAUGCCAAGCCAGUUUAGCAAAAAUGUCUUCACCUUUGAUCUCUGAUCACCCUUGAAAUCUGAUCAAUUUCCUCAUCUCCUACCCUUAAUGUAUAAGUCCUUGACCUGCCUUUAGCAAGAAUCCUGUUCGGUCAGUUUAGCAAGAAUUUCCCAACCCUGGGUGUCUCCUCUUCACAAUUUUUCAUCCACUGACUCUCCUUACUCUGCUCACUGACUAUAAUCCCCACCUGUCCUUUCUGUAUUCAGAGUUGAUCCCCAUCUCCCUCCCCUAUUGCAGCACCCCUACUGUGAUGGUCUUAAAUAAACCCUUCCUUACCUUUUAAAUAAGUCUCAGAAUCAUUCUUUCAUGAACAGAACAUAGGCAGUUGGACUCUGGUACCUGCACUCUUAAUCCACACAGUAUCCUGCCAGACCAGCUCUGUCCAAUACAACUAUAAUGGAAGCCACAUGUGUAAUUUUUAAUUAUCUAAUAGCCACAUUGAAAACGGAGAGAGAAACAGGUGAAAUUUUUUUUAAUGUUUUUACCUAGUGUAUUUGAAAUGCC
rnacentral:lncRNA from 1 species